AUACAGCUGACGAUUCCCAAACAGGACGAAAUGCGCAUCGUGGAU
rnacentral:hammerhead_ribozyme from 1 species